GCCCUCGUAGCUCAGUGGAUAGAGCAAGGGAUUUCUAAUCCCUGGGUCGUGGGUUCAAAUCCUACCGAGGGCG
rnacentral:tRNA from 18 species